rnacentral:rRNA from 1 species
UGAUGUUAGCGGCGGACGGGUGAGUAACACGUGGGUAACCUGCCUGUAAGACUGGGAUAACUCCGGGAAACCGGGGCUAAUACCGGAUGGUUGUUUGAACCGCAUGGUUCAAACAUAAAAGGUGGCUUCGGCUACCACUUACAGAUGGACCCGCGGCGCAUUAGCUAGUUGGUGAGGUAACGGCUCACCAAGGCAACGAUGCGUAGCCGACCUGAGAGGGUGAUCGGCCACACUGGGACUGAGACACGGCCCAGACUCCUACGGGAGGCAGC